UAUACGUAACUUCUUUCUUAUCAUCAUUUAUCUCUAUUCUCUUCCUAACUCUCUCUCUCUCUUUCUUUUUCUUUUCUAAAUUUUCGCCACACAAGGUGCAGCCUCGAGUUUCUUCACGAUCGGGAAUUCAAACAACAUCCGAUUGUCACGAAAUUUUAACCAAAAGUAGAAGACUCAUAAAGGAUCAUUCUUACCGAAGGAGAUCAAAUUUUAACGGUUAGAUUUUCCAGAAAUAAUUUCGGAAGUGGCUGUCGGUUUCUACAGUAGCAGCGUCGAUUUUCUAUACGAUCGGGGGUUCAAACGUAGUCCGAUCGUUCUGAAAUUUUAAAGGAAGGAUUUAGCUCGUGGUUUGAUAAUCAUUACCUCGAGAGGAUGAUAAGAGAUUUCUAUGACGAGACUUGGAAUCCUCCUUCCUAAAGAGAGUUUGAACACUUGGUAUCGGGAGGUUGGGAACUUCUUCGUCUACUUGCUCGAAAAUAAAAGUUUGGAAGUGAAAGAGAAUUUUGGAAGUAGAGUCAAGGAGCUUGUUUGAUGGCGGAGCUCCCGGGAUGGUGCAGGUGGUAAAGAAGGUCAAGUCUAGGAGGUUUUUCUAAAAUGGAAGCAGGAGUUACUAAUCGCUCGCGAUGUCGGACUUUCUUUUAUCAUUGUAAACAUUCAAAUACCACUUGUUAUUUUAUGCAUCUAGAUUAGUGCAUCAAAUAUGUAAUUAGAACGGGGUAUUACAUUCUACCCACCUUAAAAGAAAUUUCGUCCCGAAAUUUGAGCGGUGUAGGCGAACAAUUCAGGAUAUCGUUCCUUCAUUUUAUCUUCGA